GACUUGUGGCUCGCGGUGAAAUUCCAAUCGAGUUGGGUUAUAGCUGGUUCUCCCCGAAAUAGCUUUAGGGCUAGCCUCAGGGUUAGCUACUUGCUGGUAGAGCACUGAAUGAUAGAUGGCCGCGUCUAGCGGUACUGAUAUCAAUCAAACUCCGAAUAGUGAGAUAGUAUACCUGGGAGUCAGUCUGUGGGAGAUAAGUUCCAUGGACAAGAGGAAAAGAGUCCAGACCGCCAAAUAAGGUCCCAAAAUCUAUACUAAGUGUAAAAGGAUGUAGAGAUGCAUAGACAACUAGGAUGUUGGCUCAGAAGCAGCCAUCAUUUAAAGAGUGCGUAACAGCUCACUAGUCGAGUGCCUCCGCGCCGAAAAUUUACCGGGGCUAAGUAUAGUACCGAAGUUGCGGAUUUGAGAAAAUGGUAGGGGAGCGUUCCAUCAUCGGCGAAGCGAUACCGAAAGGAGUCGUGGAGAGGAUGGAAGUGAGAAUGCCGGUGUAAGUAACGAUAUUGGGUGAGAAUCCCAAUCACCAUUAGACUAAGGUUUCCUGGGGAAGGUUCGUCCGCCCAGGGUAAGUCGGGACCUAAGGCGAGGCUGAGAAGCGUAGUCGAUGGACGACAGGUUGAUAUUCCUGUACCCGUAUAUAAGUGAAGUAAUGACAGAGAAGGCUAGAUCGGCUACCUACUGGAUGGUAGUACAAGCGAGAUAGCAGGUGCAAAGGCAAAUCCGUGCACGUAAUGCAAGGCGUGAAGUGGAGCGAACGAGCAAUCAAGUAGUGAAGCGAUUGAUGCCAGCUUUCAAGAAAAGUUGCUAACAAAAUUAUAUGCGGCCCGUACCGAGAACGGACACACGUGGUCAAGGAGAGUAUCCUAAGGUGAGCGAGUGAACUGUUGUUAAGGAACUCUGCAAAAUUACUUCGUAAGUUCGCAAGAAGAAGUGCUACAGCGAUGUAGCCGCAGUGAAGAGGCCCAAGUAACUGUUUAACAAAAACACAGCUUUAUGCUAAGUCGUAAGACGAUGUAUAUGAGGUGAUGCCUGCCCAGUGCUGGAAGGUUAAAAGGAGAUGUGGUCCGCAAGGAGAAGCAUUGAUCUGAAGCCCCAGUGAACGGCGGCCGUAACUAUAACGGUCCUAAGGUAGCGAAAUUCCUUGUCGGGUAAGUUCCGACGCGCAUGAAUGGUAUAAUAAUUUGGGCGCUGUCUCGACAGCAGACUCGGUGAAAUCUUAAUACCUGUGAACAUGCAGGUUACCCGCGACUAGACGGAAAGACCCCAUGGAGCUUUACUAUAGCUUAAUAUUGAAUAGUUGAAAAUCCUGUACAGGAUAGGUAGGAGACAAAGAAGUUUGUGCGUCAGCAUGAAUGGAGUCAACGGUGGGAUACUACUCUUGAUUUUCGAUUGUUCUAACUUAGAAUCAAAACGGGUUCGAGGACAGUGUUAGGUGGGUAGUUUGACUGGGGCGGUCGCCUCCUAAAGAGUAACGGAGGCGCCCCAAGGUACCCUCAGUAUGGUUGGAAAUCAUACAACGAGUGCAAAGGCAUAAGGGUGCUUGACUGCGAGACCUACAAGUCGAGCAGGGACGAAAGUCGGGCUUAGUGAUCCGGCGGUUCCGAGUGGAAGGGCCGUCGCUCAACGGAUAAAAGCUACCCUGGGGAUAACAGGCUGAUCGCGUCCAAGAGUUCACAUCGACGACGCGGUUUGGCACCUCGAUGU
rnacentral:rRNA from 1 species